GCCGGAUUGGCGGAAUUGGCAGACGCGAUGGAUUCAAAAUCCAUUGCCCGCAAGGGCGUCCCGGUUCGACUCCGGGAUCCGGUA
rnacentral:tRNA from 1 species